ACUCCCUCCGUCCCAAAAUUCUUGUCUUAGAUUUGUCUAGAUACGGAUGUAUCAAGUCACAUUUUAGUAUUAGAUACAUCCGUAUCUAGACAAAUCUAAGACAAGAAAUUUGGGACAGAGGGAGUAGUUG
rfam:Triticum aestivum genome assembly, contig: Triticum_aestivum_CS42_TGACv1_scaffold_648699_T